rnacentral:rRNA from 1 species
AUUGAACGCUGGCGGCAGGCCUAACACAUGCAAGUCGAGCGGAGCGGCGGACGGGUGAGUAAUGCCUAGGAAUCUGCCUGGUAGUGGGGGAUCACGUCCGGAAACGGGCGCUAAUACCGCAUCCUAUCAGAUGAGCCUAGGCCGGAUUAGCUAGUUGGUGGGUUAAAGGCCUACCACGGCGACGAGCCGUCACUGGUCUGAGUGGAUGAUCAGUCCCACUGGAACUGAGACAAGGGCCAGACGCCUACGGGAGGCAGCAGUGGGGAAGAUGGGACAAUGGGCGAAAGCCUGAUCCAGCCAUGCCGCGUGUGUGAAGAAGGUCUUAGGAUUGUAAAGCACUUUAAGUUGGGAGGCGUUACCAACAGAAUAAGCACCGGCUAACUUCGUGCCAGCAGCCGCGGUAAUAC